AGGUCCCAUCUCCCACACCGGCCACCACUCCAGGAUUUGGUACACAGCUCUCACAUGUUUCUCUUUGGAUGUUGAAGCCUCCUGAGUGUUCUUGGAAGACGUAGGAGCUAAUGUAACGGGGACAGAAUGACCUGAAGAAUAGUCAGGAAGCGACCACGAUUUCCUCCUGGUCUCACCAGGCCCAGUGACACUCCAACAGUCUAAUGGGGAUCCAUGCCUGCACCGUCCAGCUCUGGAAUAGCCUAGCCACGGUCAGUGCUUGUCUGUCUGAGGAAGAAAUGGAAGAUGAGAGUCCUACAGCACUCUAGGAGGGAUAUAAGAGGCUAGCCCACUGAGGAUCUGGACAGAGCAAUACAGGAGGGUGCAAAAUCCAAGUACCAUGAGCAGCUGUGUGCUUGGGUUAUGGUUGGGAGAAAACCCCACAUGAGGGGGUGCAGAACUCAGGUCCAGCUCUGAUACCAAAAAAUCAGCACAGCUAGGCUGUCCUCUUGGAACCCUCAGGGCUCCCUCCUGGGUAGUGCUGCUGACUCACAAGAGCUCCUGGGCUGGUAUUGAGAAGUAGGCUUAGUGCCUAGGGAAUAAGACCUGUGUGUAAAGAAUGUGACAUCUCUGUCUGUCCACUCUGUUGUUCAGUUGCAUUCAAGACAGUCUGGAAUAUCAGACUGACAGCAUCGUUUCAGAGCUUCUUAAGACACAGAUACUUGGGGCUUACACUGCUGGUGAUGUGAGAGUUUGAGGUGGGCUUGGGAAUGGACGCCAUGAUUCUGUCAGGGCCCCCAGAUCACUAAGUGUGUGGCCAACUCAACCGAUUUGCACACACUAACUGCCUGUAGUUGCCUUCAUGUUUCCUGCUUUUUCCUUCAGAGUGUUAUGUAAUUAAAACCGAGCUCGUGGGCGAGGGACUCAAGAGGGGCAGGGAGGGAAUAAGGGUGCAAUUAGAUGUUUCUCCAGUAGCCUGACAGAGGGUUAUUUCAGCCUGUAGUGCGGCAGGUGGGGUCCCUUCUGACAAUGCCAGAACAGCUCAUGAAUCUCCCUCCCAUCUCACUAAAUGUUUGCCCACAGGCAAGACUCUCCUUGCUUCUUGGUGAUGAUGCUGUGAAACCCUGCCUCCCCCCAGCCCUGCCUGCUGAGUAAUUUAUGGGACCCAGAGGACAAGGAAAGUAAUUGGGUUUUGUUUUCCCAC